GAAGUAAAUCGUAACAAGUUUCCGUAGGUGAACCUGCGGAGGAUCAUUAAUAAUCUUUUAGGUUGAAAUACGAACCUAAAUAUAAUAAUCUACCUUUGUGAAUUUGUUGUUUGAAUAAUUUUUAAAAAAUUAUUUAUAGUUUUGUCUAUCCUGAGUUGUAAGAGAAGUAAAUUCUUUGAAAGCUUAGGAAUAGCUUUAUCUAUAAAUAAUGAUUUUAAGACCUUUUUUUAAAUUAAACUUUUUGUAUCAUUUGUCUAAAUUGUUUUUAAUAAUUAAAAAAACUUUUGACAAUGGAUCUCUUGUUCUCGCAACGAUGAAGAACGCAGCAAAAUGCGAUAAGUAAUGUGAAUUGCAGAAUACGUGAAUCAUCAAUCUUCGAACGCAUAUUGCACUUUUUUAGUUUACUAAAAAGUAUGUCUGUUUGAGUAUCAGUAAAAUAUCUCAUAAAAAUUUAUUUUUAUGGUUUGAGUGUUUUACAACGAUACAAGUGUUUCACUUAAAUGACUUUAAAUUGCCUAUUAAUUUAGUCAAUUUUUAAAAUUGCAUAAAUUUCCGUAAAAGGAAUAACUAUCAAUUUAAAAUUAACUGAUAUUAAAAGCCUUGAUAAAAGGAAUUUAAUUAAUAACUCGAUCUCAAUCAGAUAGAGUACCGCUGAACUUAAGCAUAUCAAUAAGCGGAGGAAAAGAAACUAACAGGAUUCCCUAGUAACGGCGAGUGAAGCGGGAAGAGCUCAAUUUGAAAUCUUCAAGUUUGACCUUGACGAAUUGUAGUUUAAAGAAGUGUUUCGGUUAGAGAGUGGUAAAGUUCUUGGAAUAGGACAUCAUAGAGGUGAGAAUCCCGUAUUGACCAUUCUUCUAGCUUUGUGAACACUUUCAAGAGUCGGAUUGUUGGAAUGCAGUCCAAAAUGGGUGGUAAAUUCAUCUAAGGCUAAAUAUUGGCGAAGACGAUAGCGAACAAGUACCGUGAGGGAAGAUGAAAAGAACUUUGAAAAGAAGUUAAACAGUACGUGAAAUUGUCAAAGGGAAGCGUUGACACCAGUGUUGUUUUUCCGAAAAUCAAUUAAAAUGGAUUCAUGCCAAGUGUAUUGACCUUAUCAGCUUGCAUUGGUUUGGGUUCUUUUUUGAUGCACUUUCGGUUAACAAGUCAACAUCAAUUUCCUUUGCUGUAAAAGGGCAGAAGGAAGUGGCUUCAAUUUCGGUUGAAGUGUUUAUAGCUUUGUCUCUGCAGUCGGGAGAUUGAGUUGCAGCGUAGAUCUUCGGGUUAGAUACAUUCGUGCUAAGUUAUAGCCUUUAUAGACAACUUGUUGACUAUGAUCGUCUUGUAAUUUACUCGCGAGUGCUAUUUUACCUACGCUUAGGAUG
rnacentral:misc_RNA from 1 species